rnacentral:rRNA from 1 species
CCUACGGGAGGCAGCAGUAGGGAAUAUUGCUCAAUGGGGGAAACCCUGAAGCAGCAACGCCGCGUGGAGGAUGAAGGUUUUCGGAUUGUAAACUCCUUUUGUUAGAGAAGAUAAUGACGGUAUCUAAAGAAUAAGCAACGGCUAACUCCGUGCCAGCAGCCGCGGUAAUACGGAGGGUACAAGCGUUACUCGGAACCACUGGGCGCAAAGAGCGCGUAGGCGGGAUAGCAAGUCAGAUGUGAAAUCCUAAGGCUUAACCAUAGAACUGCAUUUGAAACUGUUAUUCUAGAGUAUGGGAGAGGUAGGUGGAAUUCUUGGUGUAGGGGUAAAAUCCGUAGAGAUCAAGAAGAAUACUCAUUGCGAAGGCGACCUGCUAGAACAUAACUGACGCUGAUGCGCGAAAGCGUGGGGAGCAAACAGGAUUAGAUACCCCUGUAGUC